rnacentral:lncRNA from 1 species
GAUUUUUUACAUGUUUAUGUUAGUGUUACAAGAAUGCUUGACAAUUUGCUUGUGAAAUGGUAUAAUAGCGCGCAAUCAGUGAAAAAUAACAGAAUUAAAUGUAACAACUGGAGGUAACACUUCAUUUUCACCUUGUCUUUUUUGCACAGGAUAAAAUGCUAAUGCUUUCUGCCUAAAGGAAUACAGGUAGCAUUUCGAUGUAACCAUCAACACAUAGCAUUUUCUCACACGGGAGAAUGUCCUCCUGGGAACCGAAUCGAAUUUCCGGUUAAUAGGCCAUAUCUUCCCGGACGACGCUGGCGAGGGGCGGG